rnacentral:rRNA from 1 species
GCUAUACUGCAGUCGAACGCUUCUUUCCUCCCGAGUGCUUGCACUCAAUUGGAAAGAGGAGUGGCGGACGGGUGAGUAACACGUGGGUAACCUACCCAUCAGAGGGGGAUAACACUUGGAAACAGGUGCUAAUACCGCAUAACAGUUUAUGCCGCAUGGCAUAAGAGUGAAAGGCGCUUUCGGGUGUCGCUGAUGGAUGGACCCGCGGUGCAUUAGCUAGUUGGUGAGGUAACGGCUCACCAAGGCCACGAUGCAUAGCCGACCUGAGAGGGUGAUCGGCCACACUGGGACUGAGACACGGCCCAGACUCCUACGGGAGGCAGCAGUAGGGAAUCUUCGGCAAUGGACGAAAGUCUGACCGAGCAACGCCGCGUGAGUGAAGAAGGUUUUCGGAUCGUAAAACUCUGUUGUUAGAGAAGAACAAGGACGUUAGUAACUGAACGUCCCCUGACGGUAUCUAACCAGAAAGCCACGGCUAACUACGUGCCAGCAGCCGCGGUAAUACGUAGGUGGCAAGCGUUGUCCGGAUUUAUUGGGCGUAAAGCGAGCGCAGGCGGUUUCUUAAGUCUGAUGUGAAAGCCCCCGGCUCAACCGGGGAGGGUCAU